CGUUCAUGAUCUUGUCGGAAAGAUGACUGACAGCAGGUUCCCCAGAAGUCGGUAAGAGAAAAGUCCACCAAGCGAAAAAGUUCACCGUCAUAGCCUAAGCGUAUUACCAUGAGCAAAUCAGAAUGCUCAAAGUAGGCCUAAGCGCCUGAAUGUGUUAGCAUGGAAUAAUGAAAUAGGACUCGAGUCUUGUUUUGUUGGUUUACUUGACAUUGAGAAAUGAUGAAUAGGAACGGUUGGGGGCAUUUGUAUUUGGCCGCUAGAGGUGAAAUUCUUGGAUUGGCCGAAGACAAACUACUGCGAAAGCAUUUGACCCAGGACGUUUUCAUUGAUCAGGGACUAAAGUUGAGGGAUCGAAGACGAUGAGAUACCGUCGUAGUCUUAACCACAAACUAUGCCGACUAGCGAUUGGGCCUUGACCUUUGGUCAGGUUCAGCAGCUUAGCGAAAGUAAAGUCUUUGGGU
rfam:Absidia glauca strain CBS 101.48 genome assembly, contig: contig_5974